rnacentral:rRNA from 1 species
GAUGAACGCUGGCGGCGUGCCUAAUACAUGCAAGUCGAGCGAACAGAUGAGGAGCUUGCUCCUCUGACGUUAGCGGCGGACGGGUGAGUAACACGUGGAUAACCUACCUAUAAGACUGGGAUAACUUCGGGAAACCGGAGCUAAUACCGGAUAAUAUAUUGAACCGCAUGGUUCAAUAGUGAAAGACGGUUUUGCUGUCACUUAUAGAUGGAUCCGCGCCGCAUUAGCUAGUUGGUAAGGUAACGGCUUACCAAGGCAACGAUGCGUAGCCGACCUGAGAGGGUGAUCGGCCACACUGGAACGGAGACACGGUACAGACGCCUACGGGAGGCAGCAGUAGGGAAUCGUCCGCAAUGGGCGAAAGCCUGACGGAGCAACGCCGCGUGAGUGAUGAAGGUCUUCGGAUCGUAAAACUCUGUUAGUAGGGAAGAACAAAUGGGUAAGUAACUAUGCACGGCUUGACGGUACCUAAUCAGAAAGCCACGGCUAACUACGUG